GCAUAUGCUGUGAGCUCGAUGAGUAGGGCGGGACACGUGGUAUCCUGUCUGAAUAUGGGGGGACCAUCCUCCAAGGCUAAAUACUCCUGACUGACCGAUAGUGAACCAGUACCGUGAGGGAAAGGCGAAAAGAACCCCGGCGAGGGGAGUGAAAAAGAACCUGAAACCGUGUACGUACAAGCAGUGGGAGCCCCACCACUAAGCCAGUGGUGAACUCCACAUACGCAUCCUUUGCUGAGGAUACGGUUAACGGAGCGAAAGCGACGUUCAACCGCAAAAGAAGCAGAGGGGGCUUAGUGGUGGGGUGACUGCGUACCUUUUGUAUAAUGGGUCAGCGACUUAUAUUCUGUAGCAAGGUUAACCGAAUAGGGGAGCCGGAGGGAAACCGAGUCUUAAUUGGGCGUUAAGUUGCAGGGUAUAGACCCGAAACCCGGUGAUCUAGCCAUGGGCAGGUUGAAGGUUGGGUAACACUAACUGGAGGACCGAACCGACUAAUGUUGAAAAAUUAGCGGAUGACCUGUGGCUGGGGGUGAAAGGCCAAUCAAACCGGGAGAUAGCUGGUUCUCCCCGAAAGCUAUUUAGGUAGCGCCUCGUGAAUUCAUCUCCGGGGGUAGAGCACUGUUUCGGCUAGGGGGCCAUCCCGGCUUACCAACCCGAUGCAAACUGCGAAUACCGGAGAAUGUUAUCACGGGAGACACACGGCGGGUGCUAACGUCCGUCGUGAAGAGGGAAACAACCCAGACCGCCAGCUAAGGUCCCAAAGUCAUGGUUAAGUGGGAAACGAUGUGGGAAGGCCCAGACAGCCAGGAUGUUGGCUUAGAAGCAGCCAUCAUUUAAAGAAAGCGUAAUAGCUCACUGGUCGAGUCGGCCUGCGCGGAAGAUGUAACGGGGCUAAACCAUG
rnacentral:rRNA from 1 species